AGAACACCGCUAUUGGAGUUCGACUAAGCCAUGCAAGUCAGAGCUUCGGCUCGGCGGACGGCUCAGUAACACGUGGCUAACCUGCCCUGGGAUGGGGGAUAACCUCGGGAAACUGAGGAUAAUCCCCCAUAGGAAACGGGUAUUGGAAUAUCCCGUUUCUGAAAGCCUUCGGGUGUCCCAGGAUGGGGUUGCGGUGGAUUAGGUAGUUGGUGAGGUAAAGGCUCACCAAGCCAUUGAUCCAUACGGGCUGUGAGAGCAGUGGCCCGGAGAAGGGGACUGAGACAAGGCCCCUAGCCCUACGGGGUGCAGCAGGCGCGAAACCUUCGCAAUGUGAGAAAUCACGACGAGGGGACUCCAAGUUGCUGGUUUUACCAGUAUUUUCCAGAGUCCAAAACGCUCUGGGAAUAAGGGCUGGGCAAGACCCGUGCCAGCCGCCGCGGUAACACGGGCAGCCCUAGUGGCGUUCACUUAUAUUGGGCCUAAAGCGUUCGUAGCCGGUCUGAUAAGUCCUUGGUGAAAGCUUGCGACUCAAUCGUGAGGAAUGCCAAGGAUACUGUCGGACUUGGGGCCGGGAUGGGUCGGAGGUAUUCUCGGGGUAGGAGUGAAAUCCUGUAAUCCCGAGAGGACCAUCGGUGGCGAAUCGAUGCGAGGCGCUUCUUCAAGAGCCGGCUCACAUCGAGCUAAGGCGUCCGACUGGAACGGGCCCGACGGUGAGGAACGAAAGCUAGGGGAUCGACCCGGAUUAGAUACCCGGUUAGUCCUAGCUGUAAAUGAUGUUGGUUUGGUGUUGCAUGAUUCAUGUAAUCAUGCAGUGCCGUAGAGAAGUCGUUAAACCAACCGCCUGGGAAGUACGGCCGCAAGGCUGAAACUUAAAGGAAUUGGUGGGGGAGCACAACAAGGGGUGGAGGCUGCGGUUUAAUCGGAUGCAACGCCGCACAUCUCACCAGGGAAGACGGCAAGAUGAAGGUCAGUCUGAAGGGCUUACCAGAUGAGCCGAGAGGUGGUGCAUGGCCAUCGUCAGCUCGUGCUGUGAAGUGUCCUGUUAAGUCAGGCAACGAGCGAGAUCCACGCCCUUAGUUGCUAGUUCCUUUUUUCGAAAAGGAACGCACUCUAAGGGGACUGCCGGUGAUAAACUGGAGGAAGGAGUGGCCGACGGUAGGUCCGUAUGCCCCGAAUUUCCUGGGCUACACGCGGCCUACAAUGCCAUGGACAACGGGAUGCAACUCCGAAAGGAGAAGCCAAACCUCUAAACCAUGGCCCAGUUCGGAUUGAGGGUUGGGACUCACCCUCAUGAAGUUGGAAUCCCUAGUAAUCGCGGGUCACUAUCCCGCGGUGAAUGCGUCCCUUCUCCUUGCACACACCGCCCGUCAAACCACCCGAGUGGGGCCUAGACGAGGCGGGAUCGAUUCGGUCCCGUCGAAUCUGAGCUCUGUAAGGGGGGUU
rnacentral:rRNA from 1 species